UACGUAGGGGGCAAGCGUUGUCCGGAAUCAUUGGGCGUAAAGAGCGUGUAGGCGGCUUGGUAAGUCCGCUGUGAAAGUCCAGGGCUCAACCCUGGAAAGCCGGUGGAAACUGUCGGGCUAGAGUCCGGAAGAGGCGAGUGGAAUUCCUGGUGUAGCGGUGAAAUGCGCAGAUAUCAGGAGGAACACCAAUGGCGAAGGCAGCUCGCUGGGACGGUACUGACGCUGAGACGCGAAAGCGUGGGGAGCAAACAGG
rnacentral:rRNA from 1 species